rnacentral:tRNA from 1 species
GGACGCAUAGCUCAGCCCGGUUAGAGCACUUGCCUCACAUGCAAGGGGUCCCAGGUUCAAGUCCUGGUGCGUCCACCA